rnacentral:rRNA from 1 species
UACGUAGGGACCAAGCGUUGUCCGGAAUCACUGGGCGUAAAGAGCGUGUAGGCGGUUAGACAAGUCCGUUGUGAAAACCCAGGGCUCAACCCUGGGAGGUCAAGGGAUACUGUCUAACUAGAGUCCGGAAGAGGCGAGUGGAACUCCUGGUGUAGCGGUGAAAUGCGCAGAUAUCAGGAAGAACACCGAUAGCGAAGGCAGCUCGCUGGUACGGAACUGACGCUGAGACGCGAAAGCGUGGGGAGCAAACAGG